GUUACUCCCCCCGUCCCAAAAUAUGAGGGUUUUUAGGUGAAUGUGACACAUUCUAGUACAACAAAUUUGGAUAUAAAGCAUAUCCAAAUUCGUUAUACUAGGAUGUGUCACAUCCACCCAAAAUCCCUUAUAUUUUGGGACGGAGGGAGU
rnacentral:misc_RNA from 1 species